GGGUUGUGAGGUUAAGCGACUAAGCGUACACGGUGGAUGCCCUGGCAGUCAGAGGCGAUGAAGGACGUGCUAAUCUGCGAAAAGCGUCGGUAAGGUGAUAUGAACCGUUAUAACCGGCGAUGUCCGAAUGGGGAAACCCAGUGCAAUUCGUUGCACUAUCGUUAACUGAAUACAUAGGUUAACGAGGCGAACCGGGGGAACUGAAACAUCUAAGUACCCCGAGGAAAAGAAAUCAACCGAGAUUCCCCCAGUAGCGGCGAGCGAACGGGGAGCAGCCCAGAGUCUGAAUCAGCUUGUGUGUUAGUGGAACGGUCUGGAAAGUCCGACGGUACAGGGUGAUAGUCCCGUACACCAAAAUGCACAGGCUGUGAACUCGAAGAGUAGGGCGGGACACGUGGUAUCCUGUCUGAAUAUGGGGGGACCAUCCUCCAAGGCUAAAUACUCCUGACUGACCGAUAGUGAACCAGUACCGUGAGGGAAAGGCGAAAAGAACCCCGGCGAGGGGAGUGAAAAAGAACCUGAAACCGUGUACGUACAAGCAGUGGGAGCACCUUCGGGUGUGACUGCGUACCUUUUGUAUAAUGGGUCAGCGACUUAUAUUCUGUAGCAAGGUUAACCGUAUAGGGGAGCCGCAGGGAAACCGAGUCUUAACUGGGCGUUAAGUUGCAGGGUAUAGACCCGAAACCCGGUGAUCUAGCCAUGGGCAGGUUGAAGGUUGGGUAACACUAACUGGAGGACCGAACCGACUAAUGUUGAAAAAUUAGCGGAUGACUUGUGGCUGGGGGUGAAAGGCCAAUCAAACCGGGAGAUAGCUGGUUCUCCCCGAAAGCUAUUUAGGUAGCGCCUCGUGAAUUCAUCUUCGGGGGUAGAGCACUGUUUCGGCUAGGGGGUCAUCCCGACUUACCAACCCGAUGCAAACUACGAAUACCGAAGAAUGUUAUCACGGGAGACACACGGCGGGUGCUAACGUCCGUCGUGAAGAGGGAAACAACCCAGACCGCCAGCUAAGGUCCCAAAGUCAUGGUUAAGUGGGAAACGAUGUGGGAAGGCACAGACAGCCAGGAUGUUGGCUUAGAAGCAGCCAUCAUUUAAAGAAAGCGUAAUAGCUCACUGGUCGAGUCGGCCUGCGCGGAAGAUGUAACGGGGCUAAACCAUGCACCGAAGCUGCGGCAGCGACACUAUGUGUUGUUGGGUAGGGGAGCGUUCUGUAAGCCUGCGAAGGUGUGCUGUGAGGCAUGCUGGAGGUAUCAGAAGUGCGAAUGCUGACAUAAGUAACGAUAAAGCGGGUGAAAAGCCCGCUCGCCGGAAGACCAAGGGUUCCUGUCCAACGUUAAUCGGGGCAGGGUGAGUCGACCCCUAAGGCGAGGCCGAAAGGCGUAGUCGAUGGGAAACAGGUUAAUAUUCCUGUACUUGGUGUUACUGCGAAGGGGGGACGGAGAAGGCUAUGUUAGCCGGGCGACGGUUGUCCCGGUUUAAGCAUGUAGGCUGGUUGUCCAGGCAAAUCCGGAUAAUCAAGGCUGAGGUGUGAUGACGAGGCACUACGGUGCUGAAGUAACAAAUGCCCUGCUUCCAGGAAAAGCCUCUAAGCAUCAGGUAACAUCAAAUCGUACCCCAAACCGACACAGGUGGUCAGGUAGAGAAUACCAAGGCGCUUGAGAGAACUCGGGUGAAGGAACUAGGCAAAAUGGUGCCGUAACUUCGGGAGAAGGCACGCUGGUGUGUAGGUGAAGCCCCUGCGGGUGGAGCUGAGACCAGUCGAAGAUACCAGCUGGCUGCAACUGUUUAUUAAAAACACAGCACUGUGCAAACACGAAAGUGGACGUAUACGGUGUGACGCCUGCCCGGUGCCGGAAGGUUAAUUGAUGGGGUUAUCCGUAAGGAGAAGCUCUUGAUCGAAGCCCCGGUAAACGGCGGCCGUAACUAUAACGGUCCUAAGGUAGCGAAAUUCCUUGUCGGGUAAGUUCCGACCUGCACGAAUGGCGUAAUGAUGGCCAGGCUGUCUCCACCCGAGACUCAGUGAAAUUGAACUCGCUGUGAAGAUGCAGUGUACCCGCGGCAAGACGGAAAGACCCCGUGAACCUUUACUAUAGCUUGACACUGAACAUUGAGCCUUGAUGUGUAGGAUAGGUGGGAGGCUUUGAAGCGUGGACGCCAGUCUGCGUGGAGCCAACCUUGAAAUACCACCCUUUAAUGUUUGAUGUUCUAACGUUGGCCCCUCACCGGGGUUGCGGACAGUGUCUGGUGGGUAGUUUGACUGGGGCGGUCUCCUCCCAAAGCGUAACGGAGGAGCACGAAGGUUAGCUAAUCCUGGUCGGACAUCAGGAGGUUAGUGCAAUGGCAUAAGCUAGCUUGACUGCGAGCGUGACGGCGCGAGCAGGUGCGAAAGCAGGUCAUAGUGAUCCGGUGGUUCUGAAUGGAAGGGCCAUCGCUCAACGGAUAAAAGGUACUCCGGGGAUAACAGGCUGAUACCGCCCAAGAGUUCAUAUCGACGGCGGUGUUUGGCACCUCGAUGUCGGCUCAUCACAUCCUGGGGCUGAAGUAGGUCCCAAGGGUAUGGCUGUUCGCCAUUUAAAGUGGUACGCGAGCUGGGUUUAGAACGUCGUGAGACAGUUCGGUCCCUAUCUGCCGUGGGCGCUGGAGAAUUGAGGGGGGCUGCUCCUAGUACGAGAGGACCGGAGUGGACGCAUCACUGGUGUUCGGGUUGUCAUGCCAAUGGCACUGCCCGGUAGCUAAAUGCGGAAGAGAUAAGUGCUGAAAGCAUCUAAGCACGAAACUUGCCCCGAGAUGAGUUCUCCCUGAGACUUUAAGUCUCCUGAAGGAACGUUGAAGACGACGACGUUGAUAGGCCGGGUGUGUAAGCGCAGCGAUGCGUUGAGCUAACCGGUACUAAUGAACCGUGAGGCUUAACCUUACAACGCCGAAG
rnacentral:rRNA from 1 species